rnacentral:rRNA from 1 species
UGGGGAAUAUUGGACAAUGGGCGCAAGCCUGAUCCAGCCAUGCCGCGUGUGUGAAGAAGGCCUUUUGGUUGUAAAGCACUUUAAGCGAGGAGGAGGCUACUUGGAUUAAUACUCUAGGAUAGUGGACGUUACGCGCAGAAUAAGCACCGGCUAACUCUGUGCCAGCAGCCGCGGUAAUACAGAGGGUGCGAGCGUUAAUCGGAUUUACUGGGCGUAAAGCGUGCGUAGGCGGCUUCUUAAGUCGGAUGUGAAAUCCCUGAGCUUAACUUAGGAAUUGCAUUCGAUACUGGGAAGCUAGAGUAUGGGAGAGGAUGGUAGAAUUCCAGGUGUAGCGGUGAAAUGCGUAGAGAUCUGGAGGAAUACCGAUGGCGAAGGCAGCCAUCUGGCCUAAUACUGACGCUGAGGUACGAAAGCAUGGGGAGCAAACAGG